rnacentral:tRNA from 1 species
AGGGCGUGCAGGCGCAAAAUUAGACUUCUAAUCUCAAUUUUGAGAGGCUCAACUCCUUUCCCGCCCUU